AUGAUCCCCCUAACCUGCGCCUUCCUCUAUGCCCAAAUUAGUGGGCAUACUGGCUCUCCACCUCCCUGCAUGGCGGCCAAGCUCGAAGGAACAAAAAGCAGUGCCGAUCCGCCCCAGUAAAGAGUAGCAUCCAGCUGCACACUACCUGCCAGGUCCGGAGAAACGACCGACGGCCCUUGUUGGCAGACUCAACUGGAAUACAGCUCCCUAAUGACAAUGUCACCCCGUCUGUGGGUAUUGGCUAAACAGGCCACGGACCCCCUCUACAGAGACGCGGUUCUAUUACCAGCCUUCCUUGUGUCAGCUGUGCUCAGUUUAUAAUGUUUAAUUUUAUGCAAGGCACCUGCCGACCUGUAGUCGAUUCUCAUAGCACCCAGUGGUAUUUCUUUAUCU